rnacentral:rRNA from 1 species
GGGUGAGUAACACGUGGGCAAUCUGCCCUGCACUCUGGGACAAGCCCUGGAAACGGGGUCUAAUACCGGAUAUCACUUCCUCCCGCAUGGGUGGGGGUUGAAAGCUCCGGCGGUGCAGGAUGAGCCCGCGGCCUAUCAGCUUGUUGGUGGGGUGAUGGCCUACCAAGGCGACGACGGGUAGCCGGCCUGAGAGGGCGACCGGCCACACUGGGACUGAGACACGGCCCAGACUCCUACGGGAGGCAGCAGUGGGGAAUAUUGCACAAUGGGCGGAAGCCUGAUGCAGCGACGCCGCGUGAGGGAUGACGGCCUUCGGGUUGUAAACCUCUUUCAGCAGGGAAGAAGCGUGAGUGACGGUACCUGCAGAAGAAGCGCCGGCUAACUACGUGCCAGCAGCCGCGGUAAUACGUAGGGCGCAAGCGUUGUCCGGAAUUAUUGGGCGUAAAGAGCUCGUAGGCGGUUUGUCACGUCGGAUGUGAAAGCCCGGGGCUUAACCCCGGGUCUGCA